AACGAACGCUGGCGGCAGGCUUAACACAUGCAAGUCGAGCGCCCCGCAAGGGGAUCGGCAGACGGGUGAGUAACGCGAGGGAAUCUACCCAUCCCUACGGAAUAGCUCCGGGAAACUGUAAUUAAUACCGUAUACGCCCUACGGGGGAAAGAUUUAUCGGGGAUGGAUGAGCCCGCGUUGGAUUAGCUAGUUGGUGGGGUAAAGGGCUACCAAGGGGACGAUCCAUAGCUGGUCUGUGAGUAUGAUCAGCCACAUUGGGACUGAGACACGGCCCAAAAUCCUACGGGAGGCAGCAGUGGGGAAUAUUGGACAACGGGGGCAACCCUGAUCCAGCCAUGCCGCGUGAGUGAUGAAGGCCUUAGGGUUGUAAAGCUCUUUCACCGGGGAAGAUAAUGACGGUACCCGGAGAAGAAGCCCCGGCUAACUUCGUGCCAGCAGCCGCGGUAA
rnacentral:rRNA from 1 species